CAGUCGCGCGGUAAUACAGAGGGUGCAAGCGUUAAUCGGAUUUACUGGGCGUAAAGGGCGCGUAGGUGGUUAUGUAAGUGAGAUGUGAAAUCCCCGGGCUCAACCUGGGAACUGCAUCUUAUACUGCGUAGCUGGAGUGCAGUAGAGGGUAGUGGAAUUUCCGGUGUAGCGGUGAAAUGCGUAGAUAUCGGAAGGAACACCAGUGGCGAAGGCGGCUACCUGGACUGACACUGACACUGAGGCGCGAAAGCGUGGGGAGCAAACAGGAUUAGAUACCCCCGUAGUCCCUGUCUCUUAUACA
rnacentral:rRNA from 1 species